CAUAUCAAUAAGCGGAGGAAAAGAAACUAACUAGGAUUCCCUUAGUAACGGCGAGUGAACCGGGAUGAGCUCAAAUUUGAAAUCUGGCGUCUUUCAGGCGUCCGAGUUGUAAUCUAUAGAGGCGUUUUCCGCGCCGGACCGCGUCCAAGUCUCUUGGAAUAGAGUAUCAAAGAGGGUGACAAUCCCGUACUUGACGCGACAACCGGUGCUCUGUGAUACGUUCUCAAUGAGUCGAGUUGUUUGGGAAUGCAGCUCUAAAUGGGUGGUAAAUUCCAUCUAAGGCUAAAUAUUGGCGAGAGACCGAUAGCGAACAAGUACCGUGAGGGAAAGAUGAAAAGCACUUUGGAAAGAGAGUUAAACAGCACGUGAAAUUGUUAAAAGGGAAACGAUUGAAGUCAGUCGUGUGAGGGGUAUUCAGCCGUCUCUGGCGGUGUAUUUGCCUCUCACGGGUCAACAUCAGUUUGAUCCGGUAGAAAAAGGCGGGAGGAAGGUGGCACCCUCGGGUGUGUUAUAGCCUCCUGUCAUAUGUGCCGGACCAGACUGAGGAACGCAGCUUGCAGCAAUGCCGGGAUUCGUCCACGUACAAGCUUAGGAUGUUGACAUAAUGGCUUUAAACGACCCGUCUUGAAACACGGACCA
rnacentral:rRNA from 1 species